AUUGAACGCUGGCGACAGGCCCAACACAUGCAAGUCGAGCGGCAGCGGGAAAGUAGCUUGCCACUUUUGCCGGCGAGCGGCGGACGGGUGAGUAAUGCCUGGGAAAUUGCCCAGUCGAGGGGGAUAACAGUUGGAAACGACUGCUAAUACCGCAUACGCCCUACGGGGGAAAGCAGGGGACCUUCGGGCCUUGCGCGAUUGGAUAUGCCCAGGUGGGGUUAGCUAGUUGGUGAGGUAAUGGCUCACCAAGGCAACGAUCCCUAGCUGGUCUGAGAGGAUGACCAGCCACACUGGAACUGAGACACGGUCCAGACUCCUACGGGAGGCAGCAGUGGGGAAUAUUGCACAAUGGGGGAAACCCUGAUGCAGCCAUGCCGCGUGUGUGAAGAAGGCCUUCGGGUUGUAAAGCACUUUCAGCGAGGAGGAAAGGUUGAUGCCUAAUACGUAUCAACUGUGACGUUACUCGCAGAAGAAGCACCGGCUAACUCCGUGCCAGCAGCCGCGGUAACAC
rnacentral:rRNA from 1 species